GCUGCUGUCCGACCGCAUGCACACAACAGCAUGCACAUAGUGGAUAGUGGUCAGCACCGCUGGCACAGGCUCAGCCUUGUUGGCAGGCCCACCAACGACGCGUAGAGGGGAGAAGGGCACGCGGAGCUCAGAGCUCUACUUCAUACGAUGUGCAUCGAUCGCGGGGAAGGAGAGCGUGGGGCAAGGCUAGUAGCUUCAUGGCGCGUGAAAGCUCUCCUGUCCGGCCAUCCGCUAAACCUUAUCUUCUCACCGCUCGUUCUCCGUGUCAGGCUCUCACUCAAGCUCGUGUCCUCCAUGCGAGAAAGACCGUCGGCAACCUUCGUGCGUCGGCAACCUUCAUGCGAGGGCGUAGCAGUGCGCGAGUCAAGCCUGCUCCACCGUUCCUCGAGGACAGAAAUUAGUCGCCAUAACUUUGAAUCUGGAUACUGGCCGCCGUGUCCUUUGCCUCCUGAAGCAGUGCGAGGUCGUUAUGACGCCCGGUGGGCUCCCUGUCCUGGAGCGGCGCAAGGUCAACGGGCGGCGGCGCUCCAAGCGCGAUUCCGACCUUUGCGUGUACGACCCUAUGACCGGCGGCCGCACCUUCUUCCCUUUGCUCGGACAUCCGUCGGGAUGACAUCAAUGGCGCCGUCCACACGUACGCUCGUGGCCGCCGCUGGCACCAGCUCUCCGGGGUUCGAUGGGUCCGACAGUACCAAACUCAAGCAGGGGCUGGACGGAGCAGGAGUCAGCAACACGUGGGAGGAAUCACGAGCGUAGGCGCAACGUCCUCGGCGAGCUGCGCAAUGUUCCGGCGAGCUGCACAACUUCUCUGGCAGCCUCAGUUAUCUGCGUCCAUAUAUGUUCUUCUCCUCCGAUUUGAAUGCUCUUACCUUUA